rnacentral:rRNA from 1 species
UACGAAGGGGGCUAGCGUUGUUCGGAAUUACUGGGCGUAAAGCGCGCGCAGGCGGCUAUCCAAGUCAGUGGUGAAAGCCCGGAGCUCAACUCCGGAACUGCCAUUGAAACUGUUUAGCUGGAGUAUGAGAGAGGUGAGUGGAAUUCCCAGUGUAGAGGUGAAAUUCGUAGAUAUUGGGAAGAACACCGGUGGCGAAGGCGGCUCACUGGCUCAUUACUGACACUGAGAGACGAAAGCCAGGGGAGCAAACGGG